GAAAAAUGAAAACCUCUUUUAUCUCUUCAACAGACAGAUGGAUGUACCUUGUAGCAGCCUUCAGUGCAGCUCGUGAGAGAAUCCUGACUCAGUUUUGGAGGGCCCUUCCACACUUCAAGGACCAGCUCCGGGACCACCACCCCCAGGAAAGCUUCCAGAAUCUUGUGGCACAUUGUAAAGUCCUCUUCCUGCCUCGGUUUGGAGUGGGUCAGCCUCCUUAGAGUGUGUGUAAGCCUUUCUGGAAUUUUUACUGCAAUAGUAAUGCAUAACGAUGAAGAAUAUGAACCCGGGCUUAGUCAGACUGCGGAUCGAAUGCUGGCUCUGCCACGCAGCAGCUGUGGGACUUUGGGCAAAUUAUUUCGUCUCUUCAACCCUCAAUUUUCUUAUCAAUGAAAUGGAAAGUAUGAUAUUUUCCUUGAGCUUCUGUUGUAGGAUUACUGGAGGAAUUAUGUGAGAUAUUUGUAAAGCAUCUAACCUAGGACCUGCUUAUAUUAUA
rnacentral:lncRNA from 1 species